rnacentral:rRNA from 1 species
AGAAUCAACGCUGGCGGCGUGCCUAACACAUGCAAGUCGAACGAGAAAGUGGAGCAAUCCAUGAGUACAGUGGCGCACGGGUGAGUAACACGUGACUACCUACCCUCGAGUGGGGAAUAACCUCGGGAAACCGGGCUAAUACCGCAUAACAUCUACGGAUCAAAUGCGAAAGCAGCUUGAGGAGGGGGUCGCGGCCGAUUAGCUAGUUGGUGAGGUAAUGGCCCACCAAGGCAAUGAUCGGUA